GUUCUUCGAAACCUCAUGGUGGCUUUCAGUACUAUCAGCCAUGAUGGCCUUUUAUCAGCCAUGGUAUUCUUCUGGUUGUCUAUCAGAGAUGACCUUAGGUGAACUGUUUUGCUGUGGUUUCAUUCCUUUCAGUUGGAAUGUAUCCAGAAGGUGAUGCUGGAAAACUACUGUUUAAUAUCUAGGUUGUUCAUCUAUGGUGUCCCACAAGAAUCUACCUGAUCCUCAGUAGUGUUUAAGUCUACCUGAACCUGCUGGGGGAGGUCAUUCAGAGAUCUGAAAUGGAAUGCCAUCAGUAUGCUGAUGUUCAAUAUCAUAACCCUAAGGAAGCAAUUAGUACCUAUAAACAUUGCUAAAUAAUGAG